rnacentral:rRNA from 1 species
UACGGGGGGGGCAAGCGUUGUUCGGAAUUACUGGGCGUAAAGGGCGCGUAGGCGGCCCGCUAAGUCAGACGUGAAAUCCCUCGGCUCAACCGGGGAACUGCGUCUGAUACUGGCAGGCUUGAAUCCGGGAGAGGGAUGUGGAAUUCCAGGUGUAGCGGUGAAAUGCGUAGAUAUCUGGAGGAACACCGGUGGCGAAGGCGGCAUCCUGGACCGGCAUUGACGCUGAGGAGCGAAAGCCAGGGGAGCAAACGGG